GUAAGUUUAUGUAUACAUAUCAAUAUAUGUAUAUAUAACAAUAAUUCUAAGGUUUUUACGUUGUGUGCAGUUUCAUUUUCAUCGCAUACAGCAACCAUUGUGCUAAACCAGUGAUUAAUAUUUUUUUGAAGUUAUUGGUUUUACCAUCUGCUUCCUUGCGCUUGUUACCAUAGUCACAGCGAAUCCACAAUGGUUAAUAACACACUCUUAUGCUGCUCCACUUACUGCUGUUGCCACACCAUCGGUGGCUUUGACUGCACCCUCGUAUGUUGAACCUUAUUACGCCUCAUAUGCUGCUACCCCGUGGUGGUCUUCAUAUGCUGCAUAUCCAUACGCUGGUUCCUACUGAUUUUUCAGACAAAAUGCCGAAAGCAAAGGAAAGCUGGAAAAAGUGUGUUGUUGGCUGUGGCGAGGAAGGAAUGGUGUUUAAAUUUCCCAGCGUGGGAGUUUUACUUACCUCGAACGGCGUACAUGUUGGCUCAAGCGUUUAGGUGUUUUUGAAGAAGUUGGCGAAAAAACAUCUAAACACAUUUUCGCGUGUGAACGUCAUUUUUCCGAAAAAAUUUUACGAAAAUUGCGUCCGAGGGCCGUUCCCGACGUAAAUUUAGUAAUAGAGCCUACAUUUAAUGCCUCUAAUUCUCUAUUAGAAAAACCCAUAGAGUUGGGUACGGAGGAUUUCGAUCCUAUUGAAGAAGCUGUCUCAAAUGCAAUCAGUGCAUCGAAGCAACUUCUUCCUCUUUUUGAAUCGGAAAAUCGCGAUGUAGUUCUAGAGCCUCUUCCAUUCCUUGAGGAGGAGCAUUUAAAUAGUUCUGAAAAAGCCGCGCAAACAGGUAGAGGUCUGACAGCAGGGACAGAUAGAAAGAAGAAAUUGAGGGAAGAGAAUAGGAUUUUACAAAUAAAAUUAGAUGAAAAAGAACAGGAAAAUAGGAGUUUAAAGGCUCAGUUGGUCCAAAUGGCCACUGAAUUUGAAAGAUGUAGGGAAAUAAUAAGAAAUAGUUCAUUUAGGGAACAGUCAGACCCUCUUGAGUUAGUUUGUAGCAAUGUUCCUCCUCAGUUAGGAGCUUGUAUUAGGAGUAGUUUUUUGAAUAGUAAACGUCAAAAUCACGGUCAGCGGUAUGAUAGUUUUUUUAAAACCACAGCUUUGGGUGUAUUUUUCUUGUCGCCAGUUGCUUACCGAUACCUAAAGCACCUGCUUAGUUUUCCAUCAGAAAACACUUUGCAUAAUUUUGUUGUUGGCCUCGUUUCCCAGGUUGCACCCAAAGCAGCAUAAAAUCGUUAGAAAUUAGGUGUAGGGGAUUUUCUUUUGAACAAAAGUUCGUAUCCGUUUCUUGUGAUG